UAGCGUUCCGGUACGAUGCCGUGUAGAAACCAAAUGGGUAUGGGUUUAAUAAAAACUGUUAUAGCCCUUCCAGGUUGGCCCGUAUCCACCUUAGACUGCAUCAUCACUUACCACCAGGUGAGAUUGCAGUCGAGGGCUAACUUGUAUCUGAAUAAAA